rnacentral:rRNA from 1 species
UUCCGGAGCUAACGCGUUAAGUCGACCGCCUGGGGAGUACGGCCGCAAGGUUAAAACUCAAAUGAAUUGACGGGGGCCCGCACAAGCGGUGGAGCAUGUGGUUUAAUUCGAUGCAACGCGAAGAACCUUACCUGGCCUUGACAUCCACGGAAUUUGGCAGAGAUGCCUUAGUGCCUUCGGGAACCGUGAGACAGGUGCUGCAUGGCUGUCGUCAGCUCGUGUUGUGAAAUGUUGGGUUAAGUCCCGCAACGAGCGCAACCCUUAUCCUUUGUUGCCAGCGAUACGGUCGGGAACUCAAAGGAGACUGCCGGUGAUAAACCGGAGGAAGGUGGGGAUGACGUCAAGUCAUCAUGGCCCUUACGGCCAGGGCUACACACGUGCUACAAUGGCGCAUACAAAGAGAAGCGACCUCGCGAGAGCAAGCGGACCUCAUAAAGUGCGUCGUAGUCCGGAUCGGAGUCUGCAACUCGACUCCGUGAAGUCGGAAUCGCUAGUAAUCGUAGAUCAGAAUGCUACGGUGAAUACGUUCCCGGGCCUUGUACACACCGCCCGUCACACCAUGGGAGUGGGUUGCAAAAGAAGUAGGUAGCUUAACCUUCGGGAGGGCGCUUACCACUUUGUGAUUCAUGACUGGGGUGAAGUCGUAACAAGGUAACCAAGGGCGAAUUCUG